rnacentral:ncRNA from 2 species
UAGCGAAGUUCCUCAGACAGGGGACCACACAGUGAAAGUUGUGUUGGAAAACCUAGCUGUAUGCUGGAACAACUCAUGUAUCCGACAGUACCAAAAGUGGUAAAAAUCUGAUCGGUGGAGUCAAUCAGCAGGAAAGACCUCAAUUUAGAGGGAUCCUCAACGACUAUACGCUAGACCCCCGGAUAAAAAGGGGGAUGAUAUAGUCUGAGCUUCCUGGCGACAGGAAG